UACGUAGGGUGCAAGCGUUGUCCGGAAUUAUUGGGCGUAAAGAGCUCGUAGGCGGUUUGUUGCGUCGGCUGUGAAAUCCCGAGGCUCAACCUCGGGUCUGCAGUGGGUACGGGCAGACUGGAGUGCGGUAGGGGAGAAUGGAAUUCCUGGUGUAGCGGUGGAAUGCGCAGAUAUCAGGAGGAACACCGAUGGCGAAGGCAGGUCUCUGGGCCGAUACUGACGCUGAGGCACGAAAGCGUGGGGAGCAAACAGG
rnacentral:rRNA from 1 species